rnacentral:lncRNA from 1 species
CUCUCUCAAAACUCCCAUUCGGCCCUUUCUCUCGAUUAAAACUCUCCUUUCUCAAAAUCGGUCCCUCUCUCGACGCUCAACUCAAAGAUCUCUCGUACAAAUUCUAAAUCCGUCAUCUCUUUCAUUUCAAGUAAGGUUGCAAGUUCUAAUUUUUCCUAUUUAUGUAUAGAAUAGAAUGUGAAUAUAUGAAUUUUUGGGGUCUCCUUUAAUUUCUCCAAAAUGUGAAGAUUGUAAAUGGGUAGUUGAGAAUGUUGUUCUAUGCUUUUCGACUUUCUUGUUCUUGUUUUAGAACUGCGUUUAGAUUGUGAAUCUAUGAUUUUCGAUCGAAUAGUUGGGGUUUUUAUGUGAUUUUUUAAAUUGCUUUCCGAAUAGUUGGGGGUUUCAUGCGAUUUUCAGAAUUGUGAAUUUGAUUACAUUUCCGCAUAAAGCUACAAAAUGGCUAUUUAGGAGCAUUUUUUUUUAAUUUUCAAUUAAUUAUAUGUGAUGUUAUCUUUUGGAAGCACUUUUGAGUGUGCUAGUGAUCUGGUCUAUUUUUGUUAAAGUAGGAAAGAAAAUGAAUAUUAGGUUUAUACAAGCUUAAAUGAAUCAUGAUAAAUACGUCGAAGAUCUAAAAGAGAACCACAUCAAAACAACGUGUUUUUCAUUCAAAAACACCUAAUUAUGAGGUUGAGGUGUGCUAUCUAAUUACAGAGAAUAAUCAGCCUUAAACCGACAGAUGCAUAAGUUCAUAUAUGGCUUAUAAGAAGUUAUACAAUUAGGGAUCAUUUGGAUAGAAACAAGUUAUCACGGUAUAGUGGGAUUAGUUACCCCAUAUUCCUCGUGCCAAAAAACUCCUAAGUACGUGUAUUUUCCUUUAUGUAAUAUAACCACAAGCCAUCAGAUUAGUACAUUGAUCAAUCAACCAUUCCUCAAUCUCUACCUAGCUAGUUAGCAGUUUCUAUAUGAAUCCUUGGAACCUACUAAGCAACACUGGAGAUUAACAGUUAGAAUAUCUAUUCAGCUUGAUCCAGAUGUAGAACAAUACUUAUUCACACUAACUAGAAAAAUGCAGAAGUAUAUAUUUUUUAAUAAUAUCCAAGUUUCUUUAGAACCUAUUUUCAUGUUAUGUUAUAUUAUAUGUCCUCUAUAACAACAUAUCUCCAUAGCAUCCAACAAAUAUACAGACAAACUACAAUGUUAAAGAGAAGUUUAACGCUAUAACUUACCCAAAGAGCAACUUUCUUGAACUUGUUCAUAGCUCUAAAGUUUUUGAGCUUAUACGGAACAGCAUUGUCAAGUGGUUUAUCUGGUGCCUCUCCAUCCUCCUUGAUCCAUGGAUGAUCUAUCAUAUUAUAAUAUAUAUAUAUAUACACACUUAAUUAGUUAAAAUUUUGAAUAAUGCACAAAAUACUAUUUCAGUACUUCCAAGUGUGUCCGUAAUUGUUUAAAUAUAUGACAUACUUAAAAAUAUGACAAAUCUAUGGAUAGAAAAAAGUUUCUUUUUAAGGAGUUUUGAUAGUCUUGCAUAGUAAGACUAAAAUAAUCGAGCGUAUAUUGAAAAUAACUUUUUUAUCUCACAUAGGGUUAAGAAGGUCUGCAUCCACCCUACUUAUGAGACUAUAUUAGAUAUGUUGUUGUAGCCAAAAUACCAUCUAGUAAGUCACUCAAAAGACAACUUUUCAUAAAAAAAAUAAUAUGAAUACAAACAAUAAAGUCCUAUACAACAAAAGAGGAUUAAAUGAAUCUUUCUUUUCUUUUUUGCUUCUUCUCAUUAGGCAGAGAAUAAAGGAUCGAGAGAAAACAUUACACAAAACAUAGAUUUACUCUUAAUAGUACAAAGAUUUUAUUAUAUAAAAAAGACAACACUCGUCACACAGAAAUUCACAGCAGUAAGAACUGUCAGCCAAAUGAAAAUCAAUGUCCACCAAUGCCUUUAAACAUGUAGCUUUUUGUAUAAUUUUUGAUAUUGCAAAUGCCAUGACUUGAUCACAGGGAGAGAAAUCCUUUGGUAACUUUAAGAUAGCUUUCAUAAGUUGUCCAUUUCUUUCAUCCUUGAUUCGUGUCGAGGUUUAUUUCAUUAUUUAGAGGUGGGGUGGAAGUUUCAUCAUACAGUAUAAGAGAAUCAGUUGAAGGAGGCAGUUUCUUUUUCACCGAGUACUCUUCCUUCACACUUUUUAUCCCCAUGUCUUUGGAUCUUAAAUCUGCAUUUUUUUAAACUGGUAACUUUGUAUAUAUUGAUAGAAACAGAUCAAUAUUGAAACCAUGACCCGCUCUUUGUCUUACUUCUGAGCUAGAUGGUACACCCUACAAUUUGUAAUUCCACAGGCUAUAUGAAAUCCACCCUUGACUCGGCAUCCAAGCCCCCAAUCUAAGUUUGCCGUAAGGAUUGGAGUAUCUAUAAGGGGGACACGCAAGAUCACACAGUAGGGUGUCAAAAUUCCCAAUCAAAUCAAUAUGUCAUGGUAGUGCACAAGAUCACAAAGAAAGGUUCCUAACCAUAGUCCCAAUUUGGGAUGACAUGAAUCAAGGUACAUAAGAUCACAAAGCAUGGUACCAUAAUCUCGUGUUGGCAAAUCACGAUUUCUAGCAUAGAGUCCUUCAACUCGUACUUUCUUCGAAUAACCAUCUAACUCUCUUUAAGCUAAUUUUUAAACCUUUUUUAAACAUACAUGUUUCAGAAUUCAUAAUCUAAAAAUCUGAUUUCAAACAUAUGCUCUAUUCUGUUCUGAAUUACUAUGGUUUUUUAACUGAGUUGGUGUUGUCACACCAAGACUUGCAAGUCCUAUUUCUGAGUCAUAUUGUACCAUGCAUGAUUCUUUCAUUAAAAUAUAAUUCAGACCACCCAAGCAUGCAAAUAGUAUAGGAAAUUUCAUUUUCCAAGAGCACAAAUCAAAACCAUGCUAAGAUUCUUAUUCUUUCAAUAACCAUGUAGUGGUCAUGUAUUUUUGACAAACAUGCAAUUCUUUCAUUAAAAGUGUAUUCAACGUUUAUCAACAUGCACAACCCUCUCUUUUGGAUUCAAAAUCAUAUUCAAGUCAUAGCAAUAAUCAAGACAUUUCAAACACAAUUCAUAUCAUAUAAAAAAUAGGAAAAUCAUAACAAGAGAGGAAUUCUUUAGGAUUCAUGCUCUUAAUUGCAUAUUUAUCCUUAAACACAUGCAUACAUAUAUAUAGAGAGUUUCAAAUCAAUUUGGGGGAAGGCCUAAAGACCAAAACAAUAUUGAUCAAGGCUUCUAAAACAUGCUAGUAGUCAUAAAUUCAAAACCCCUUUCUUAAAAAUCAUGAUUUCUAAACCAUUAGCAUGAAUUAAAGAUGGUUUCUUUGCCCAUGAAAUUUUAGAAAAACCCCACGUACCUUAAUUUAUGACUCUUGAAUGAACUUGUACUUUAGGGAUGCUAUUCGAACAAUUGAUGGGUGCUUCUUGUAGCCCUCGUAUUGGGGAUUCCAAAUCUCAGAGAAUUAUUGAAAACCCACGGUGAAAUCUUAAGAUAUUUUGAUCUUUGGGUUGAAACCCUAAGAAGUGUUCUUGGUGAUUUUGAGAGAGAAUGACCUUAUUUUGGUGUUUGGGGGAUUUAAUCCCGUGUUAUGGCUGAAUAUGGGGUGAAAAAUAUCACUUUUACCCUUAAAAAUGCUAAAACAGGACCUGAAAAUUGGGUGCAUGCGACAGAGCAUGCGUCGCACGCUAAUCGCACAAUGUUACUAUCUCAGUCAUGAAAAUGGCCAUAACUUUUUGCUUGGGUAUCGUAUUUUGGAAAAAUUGGUAUAGAUGGAAAGAUAAUUUGAAGAUAUUUCAUUUGAUAUAUAGUAGACCCUCUAAUUCGUUAUAUACAAAGAGUUAUGAUCGAUUGAAGUUGACCCAAGUUUCAACACUCACUCAAACUCAAACGAUAGGAAAGCUUUCAACUUGUCCUUGAGUUAGGGGACCUCUAUGAUCUCAAUUCAUGCUCAAACAGGUUCUCAUACUACAUAAUUGAUUAGCAUGCCAAAUUUGCCUAGGAUUUAUAGCUUUUGGAUCAUCUACGCAUAGAAAUGAUGAUUUUCAUUCUAGCCCGAAAUGUGGGGUGUUACAAGACCCUCAUCUUAAGGAAAGAAAAAAAGCAAAGCAACAGAGUUUAGCCAUCACAGAAAUAAAUAUAAAUAAUGUGCAAAGACUCACGUUGAAGAAAAAGAUUACACGAAGAGAAUAAUGAAGAAAUAUUAUAUUCAUGGUUAACGCGAUCGAAAGAUGUCAUCAUGGAAGCUAGUUAUUAUGAAGUUUUGAGUGGAAAUAAAUAAGAGAACGAUACAUGUAUGGAAAAUAUCAUCAUAUGUACCUUGAUUAAUAGCUAAACAUCCAUGACUUAUGGCAUCAUCAUUCUGUCUUCUGAUAUCUUGAGUAAUAUCACUAUGUUCAGAAGCAAGCGUGAUCCCAGAUAUCUCAAAAUACAAAAUCUCAGAAGGUGAGUAGGCUUGAAAGCCUACCACUUCAUCCAUCCAGAUUCCAUCAUCUCUUUUUGUUGUACAACUCCAUAAAUUUAAUGCUUGCUUCUCUGUAUAGAGGUAAAUUAUAUUUCAAUAGAAAUUCUCAAUAGUGCAUCUAUCAUCUUAAUUAGUCCAGUAAACAGAGAGAUUUAUACGUUGCAGUAGAAUAAAUAUCUAACUGACUAGAAAUCUACCUUAUUGCUCCAGUUCUUGCGGUAAUAUGUUCUAAUAUGCCUUAAUGAACUACAAAGGACUAGGAAAUUAGGUUUCUUACUCUCUAGCUAGAUUCCACAAAUGACUGCAUUCAAUGGAGAGCACUACAUAUGGACUAAAUUAGCUCUGUUCCUGGGGAAUUUUACCCUAGUUUCUUACCUUAGGAUUUAGAUUGUAAGUUGUUUUAAGUUGAAUGAAUUUGAUUGAAUAGGAUUCUCGUCAGGUUGAAGUUUUUAUCUGUUUCGACUUUGAUGAAUUUGUUGUUCAGCUUCCUGUGAGUCUUGAGCUUUGGACAUUGUAAGUUUGUUGAGUAUCAAUAUUGAAUACUAAUUAGCAAAAGGCUAAAGAAAGUUUUUGCUUAUGAGAUGGAUAAAUUAACAGACAAUGUAGGGUUAAGCUUUACAUAACAGUACUAAUUGUCAAAGAAAAAAGGGUUAAACUCUUACAUAAAUAAUAUUUUACAAUCAAUUAAUUUGAUAAUCGUUCAUAUUGUUUUGCUGUAGCGGAAAAUUAAUUUACCUUCAUUUAUCAUGUCAUUACAGAGAAAGUGUUUUUAGUGUCCAGAACAUGAACAUCAACGUCAGAUUACUACAAACUUCAGGUUAAAAGCUGCGCGCAUACUUUUUGGGUUGUUUUCAAAAGCUCGUGCAAAUAACAAGAGGCCUAGAUGGAUUCUUCCUAAAAAUUGACAAAAGUUAAUUGACCAUUGGGCGACCGAUUUGAGGUUUAAUGAGCGAGAUUAUCAAGAAAGCUAGAGAUGUGGCUGUGGAGCCCAGUAGUGACGAAAAUGAUGAGGAUUAUUAUAUGGACAAUGCAUCGG